UAGAAAUUCAGAGAAUAAUGAAAUGGACACAGACAGAGUUAUUGGUCCCACAGUUUGAAAGUAUUAAAGUACAGACACACCCAGGUCAAGCACAGGUUGCUUCUGUACCCAAACACUAGUAGAUCCAGCAUCAAACGCUUCGAACAUUUAACAAUAACAAUAAACUCAGGCACUUUAGAACAGAAUACAAAUACAAUAAAAAAGGCUUUGUGCUAAACCAGUUUGAAGUUUGAAAUGCGCUGUGGAGAGCUACAUGGAUUUACUUUUUAAAUAUUUAAGGCUAAACACUGCAGCUGCAGAAUGCGCAUGUGUGGCAUUGCUGCUACUCUUUUAAAUGUACUUCUGUAGAGUGUGAUUGGAUUUGUGGUGCACAGCAAUGACAAAACUGACUCAAGUAUUGUAGGAUCCCCCCCCCCCCCCCCCCAGAAAUAAUGCAUUUUCACAAAAUUCAAUAUUGUAAAGCUAAUCUGUGACGCACAUUGUUUGAGUACAUUUUGAAAUGGAUAGUUUACUAUUUAUCCUUGUACUUUUCAUUUCAUUUAUUCUCUUCUAACGGGGAGAUUUACACACAAGAGAGGACAGACAGAGACUCAGGAAAAAUAAACUGUCAGCAGCUUUUGAGUUUUACAUUUUCAGCAUGGAUACUUCACAUCUAGUCUAAAUGUAUCCACACACUAUUUCUUCACAAUCUAAAGAAUAUAGUCUCAAUAAGGGAACUAGACUCAUUGAACAGACCUGAACCCCACGAAUCCAGAAUCUGCUGAAGGAGCAAUCAUACCUGUAUAUCUGAAGACUGCAGCAUCACUGUGCUCUGUAGAACAAUCACAGCUGUAUAUCUGGACUCCAUCACUGUGCCCUGUAGAACAAAUCACACCUGUUUAUCUGAAGACUGCAGCAUCACUGUGCUCUUUACAACCACACCUGUAUACCUGAAGACUGCAGCAUCACUGUGCUUUGUAGUAUUUUCUAAGUUCUGCAAAUCAGAUGGAAUGCUGAUCAGAGUAUGGCAUGGUGUACUCUGGGUAUGAAGUAGAAUGCUGAUGAGAGUAUGGCACGGGGUACUGGGGGUAUGAAGUAGAAUGCUGAUGAGAGUAUGGCACGGUGUACUGGGGUAUGAAGUAGAAUGCUGAUCAGAGUCGGCAUGGUGUACUGGGGUAUGAAGUAGAAUGCUGAUCAGAGUAUGGCACGGUGUACUGGGGUAUGAAGUAGAAUGCUGAUCAGAGUAUGGCACGGUGUACUGGGAUAAGAAGUAGCAUGCUCAUCAGAGUACAGCACGGUGUACUGGGGUAUGAAGUAGAAUGCUGAUCAGAGUCGGCAUGGUGUACUGAGGUAUGAAGUAUAGUGCUGAUCAGAGAACGGCACGGUGUACUGGGGUAUGAAGUAGAGUGCUGAUCAGAGAACGGCACGGUGUACUGGGGUAUGAAGUAGAAUGCUGAUCAGAGUAUGGCACGGUGUACUGGGAUAAGAAGUAGCAUGCUCAUCAGAGUACAGCACGGUGUACUGGGGUAUGAAGUAGAAUGCUGAUCAGAGUAUGA